UACGUAGGGGGCCAGCGUUGUCCGAAGUUACUGGGCGUAAAGAGCGCGUAGGCGGGCCCUUAAGUGGGGGGUGAAAUCCCGAGGCUCAACCUCGGGACUGCCUCUCAUACUGGGGGCCUUGAGUGCGGGAGAGGCGAGUGGAAUGGUCGGUGUAGCGGUGAAAUGCGUAGAUAUCGAUCGGAACACCCAUGGCGAAGGCAGCUCGCUGGCCUGCAACUGACGCUGAGGCGCGAAAGCCGGGGGAGCGAACAGG
rnacentral:rRNA from 1 species